CUCAUUUUGACAGGUGGUGUUAGCGGAUAAGUUGAAUUGUAAACGCGAUUUAAAUAAUCGUUAAAUUCUAAAUGGGAAACUGUCCGAUGAGAAGAACACACAGAUCCAUGGAUCCAGGGAUAACAAUAAAAUAAGAAAGCUUCAGCGAGUGUUCUCGCUAACGUCGUUCGGAUGAGAUGUUCUCCGCAUCCAGAAGUACUUGAAGCAACAGAACAAUUACCAUUCCGGGCCCAAGCACCACAUCCCCAAACACCAGCCUGAAAGCAAUCAAUAGUUUUGUUCAAUAAAUUUAGCAGUGUUUUGUGGUCUUUGAAUCUUUUUUAAAACUAUCGACAUAAGUACAUUGUCACAACAUAUUAUGAAAUGUUGACUCGCGACUUGGGAACAAAAGAAAACAAAAAUUUAUUGCACAAAAAACA